GACGAACGCUGGCGGCGUGCUUAACACAUGCAAGUCGAACGGUGAAGCGCCUUCCUUUUUGGUGAGUGUGGAUGAGUGGCGAACGGGUGAGUAACACGUGAGUAACCUGCCCCCUUCUUCUGGAUAACCGCAUGAAAGUGUGGCUAAUACGGGAUAUUCUGGGUCUGUCGCAUGAUGGGUCUGGGAAAGAUAUUGUUUCGGUGGGGGAUGGGCUCGCGGCCUAUCAGCUUGUUGGUGGGGUGAUGGCCUACCAAGGCGGUGACGGGUAGCCGGCCUGAGAGGGUGGACGGUCACACUGGGACUGAGACACGGCCCCGACUCCUACGGGAGGCAGCAGUGGGGAAUAUUGCACAAUGGGCGCAAGCCUGAUGCAGCGACGCCGCGUGAGGGAUGGAGGCCUUCGGGUUGUGAACCUCUUUCGCCAGUGAAGCAGGCCUGCCUCGUUUGUGGGUGGGUUGACGGUAGCUGGAUAAGAAGCGCCGGCUAACUACGUG
rnacentral:rRNA from 1 species